UCGGACUGCAGUCUGCAACUCGACUGCACGAAGCUGGAAUCGCUAGUAAUCGCAGAUCAGAAUGCUGCGGUGAAUACGUUCCCGGGUCUUGUACACACCGCCCGUCACACCAUGGGAGUCAGUAACGCCCGAAGUCAGUGACCUAACCGCAAGGGAGGAGCUGCCGAAGGCGGGACCGAUAACUGGGGUGAAGUCGUAACAAGGUAUC
rnacentral:rRNA from 1 species